rnacentral:rRNA from 1 species
UGACUGUUUAUCAAAAACAUAGCCUCCCGAAAAAUAAUGUGAGGUUAAUUCUGCCCAGUGAAAAUUUAACGGCCGCGGUAUCCUGACCGUGCAAAGGUAGCAUAAUCAUUUGCCUCUUAAUUAGAGGCUAGUAUGAAUGAAUAAACAUUUUUAAUCUGUCUCAUUGUAAGAAAUAAAAUUUUACCUUCAGGUGAAGAGGCCUGUAUUCACAAAAAAGACAAGAAGACCCUAUCAAGCUUUAUUUUUAAAUAUUUUUUUAAUAUUAAGAAAUUUGGUUGGGGCAACAAAAAAUUACAAAAAACAUUUUUCUUACAAAGGAUAAUAACCCUAAUAAAUUAACUUAAUUUUAUAUUAAAGAAAGCUACUGUAGGGAUAACAGGCUAAUACUUUUCAAGAGUCCUUAUCAACAAAAGUGAUUGGCACCUCGAUGUUGGCUUAGGAGACCUCACUUAUGCAGAAGUAAGUUAAGGUGGUUUGUUCAACCAAUAAUUUCCUACAUGAGCUGA